rnacentral:lncRNA from 1 species
GACGCCUAACUGCAGGCUGCCUUUCUUGUCCCUGACAUUACACUUUCAGCUGUGAACGUCUCCACAUCUGGGGCAUCAAUGGACACAGACCAUGCAACAGACAAACUGGAGCAGUCCUUUGGCAUUUGCUUGCUUCAUGCUGUCAAGUCAGCUCCGACUCCUGGCGACCCUGUGAAUGAGUGAUGUCCACAAUGUCCUGUCCUCAACAGCUCUACUCAGCUCCUGUGCACUCAUGCCUCUGGCUUUCUUUAUGGAGUCAAUCCAUCUCCUAUUUGGUCUUCCUCCUUUCCUGCUGCCUUCUACUUUUCCCAGCAUUGUUGUCUUUUCUGAAGAAUCCUGCCUUCUCAUGACGUGCAAAGUUGGAUAGCCUCAGUUUUAUCACUUUUGCCCCUAGUGAUAGUUCAGGCUUAAUUUGCUCUAGGACCCACUUGUUCAUCUUUCUGGCGGUCCAGGGUGUCUGUAUAGCUCUCUUCCAACACUGCAUUUCACAUGAAUCAAUUUUUUUCCCGUCAGCCUUCUUCACUAACUUCCCCACCCAUACAUAGUAAUUGGGAAUACGAGGGUGUGGAUGAUCUUGGCCUUGGUCUCUAGUGAUACUUCUCUAUAUUAGAUGACCUUUCUUAAUUCCUUCAUUGCUGCUCUUGCAAGUCUCAGUCUUCUCUUCAUUUCUUGGCUGCAGUCUCCGUUGAAACCGAUGACUGAACCAAAGUGAACAACAUCUUUAACGAUUUCUUUUUUUCUUCUUCUUGUUCUUCUCCCCAAAGCCCCCCAGUACCUAGUUGUAGAUUCUAGUUGUGAGCGCCUCUGGUUGUGCCAUGUGGGACGCCGCCUCAGCAUGGCCUGAUGAGCGAUGCCACGUCCACACCCAGGAUCCCAACCAGCGAAACCCUGGGCCGCCGAAGCUGAGCACGCAAACCCAACCGCUUGGCCGUGGGGCUCGUCCUCUAACAAUUUCAAUGUCUUCAUUGCCUGUUUGCAGUUGUUUAGCUCUUCUUAGUCAGGAUGUAAGGUUUGCUACACAAUGCAGUGUUUGCUCCAUGACGUAGUGUUGCUAAUGUAAACACACUUUUGCACACACCCACUCCUGUCUUGUCUACUCUCCCCUUCCCCCCAACCAACAGCUCAGCCAACCCUCAAUCAUCUUUCGAUAUCUAUUUCAGGUGCAGCCCACAGCAACUCCAGAGUUUUUUCUAAGGGAUAUCUACAACCACAUCCCUCAUCUUAAAAUUCAGUAGAAGGGUUCUAGUAUGAACUAUGUGUACAUCAAGGGAGAAAAAUAGGAGAAUCCAUGCAACUGCCAAUUUGCAAAUACUUCUCUUAGAGGCAAGCACGAGGAAGCAGGAUAAGUGAUACAGACCAUAAAAACAAUUUGACAUGUUUAUGGCAAAUAAACUUGUAAGGAAAUGUUUAUCCUUCUGAGUUAUUAGAGAAAUAAAAAUGAGAUUUCAUUUUCA